UACGUAGGGGGCAAGCGUUGUCCGGAUUUAUUGGGCGUAAAGAGCGUGUAGGCGGCCAUUCAGGUCAGCUGUGAAAACUCGAGGCUCAACCUCGAGACGUCGGUUGAAACCGUUUGGCUAGAGUCCGGAAGAGGAGAGUGGAAUUCCCGGUGUAGCGGUGAAAUGCGCAGAUAUCGGGGAAGAACACCCGUGGCGAAGGCGGCUCUCUGGGACGGUACUGACGCUGAGACGCGAAAAGCGUGGGGAGCGAACAGG
rnacentral:rRNA from 1 species